AACGAACGCUGGCGGCAUGCCUAACACAUGCAAGUCGAACGGGAUCCGAGCUUCGGUUCGGUGAGAGUGGCGGACGGGUGAGUAACGCGUGGGAACCUGCCCAGUGGUGGGGGAUAACUGCGGGAAACUGCAGCUAAUACCGCAUGAGCCCGAGAGGGGAAAGAUUUAUCGCCAUUGGAGGGGCCCGCGUUCGAUUAGGUAGUUGGUGAGGUAACGGCUCACCAAGCCUUCGAUCGAUAGCUGGUCUGAGAGGAUGAUCAGCCACACUGGGACUGAGAUACGGCCCAGACUCCUACGGGAGGCAGCAGUGGGGAAUAUUGGACAAUGGGGGGCAACCCCUGAUCCAGCAAUGCCGCGUGAGUGAUGAAGGCC
rnacentral:rRNA from 1 species